rnacentral:misc_RNA from 1 species
GCAACCAUGGCAUGUUUCUCUACAUGAACACCAUCAAGCAGUGUGGCCCCCAUACCAAUGAAGGCCUCAUCCUCAAUGGUGCAGCCAUGUACAACAGCACUAUGACCAACAGUAACAUUGUUCCCUAUGAUGGUGGGCAGCACCUUUUGACUUAUAUUUGAUUUGGCCACAUGAACAAGGGAGUUGUCCUGUAUAUUGGUACCAGAUCCGACACUGAUGCUGUUAACAUCACCUCUUAGUACACAUCCAUACCAAAUAGAUGAAUUGCGUCCCACAUGGACAUCUCCAAUGACUGAGGCACCUGGAGCUACAAAUACAUCCUUAUCCACCACCGGAGCUUUAUCGAAUACGUUCAUAAGAGUCCGAUGCCUGGACAGGUGUUCCUCUAUGUGGGAGCUGCCUUGUAGGCGAUUUCCGACGCGAUCAAGAGCUUUGCCGGUCGCUCGAACGAUGGAUCCCAGGGAGUAAAUUGCUUUCCCGAGGGUUCCCAUGUUUGACCUCCUCCUUCUUCUUCUUUCGGUUUAGCCCUCUUUCUGAUCAGUAGAGCUGUGCAGUCAAGGUGUUUGUGUAGCAAAAGGGACGAUUG